AUGUGUGUUCUUUGUAGCAUGAAGACUCUUGAAACAAGAGAUCAUCUUUUCUUUCACUAUCUAUUCGCAAAGAUAUGCUGGAACUACAUAUGUCCUUCUUGGACAUCCAAUGGAUUAGGUCUACAGGACAAGAUUGAUCGAGUGAAGCGACUAAUCAACUUGCCUUUCUAUUUGGAAAUUAUCAUUCUUGUGACUUGGGCUCUAUGGAACACAAGGAAUGACUUCAUAUUUAAGCAUAUAAGCCCUGUGCGAGAGCAGAAACUUCUUAACCUCGGUGCGAGGGGACGUGCUGCAUAUUAUAGGCAGGGGCGCAUGAUCCCUGAAGCGCAUACAACGAUAGUUGAGAUAUUACAGGAGACUUGGAGAAGAAGAGAUAAAGAGAUAAGGUAG
rnacentral:rRNA from 1 species